AAACUGAAGAGUUUGAUCAUGGCUCAGAUUGAACGCUGGCGGCAGGCUUAACACAUGCAAGUCGAGCGGUAACAGAUCUAGCUUGCUAGAUGCUGACGAGCGGCGGACGGGUGAGUAACGCGUAGGAA
rnacentral:ncRNA from 1 species